rnacentral:rRNA from 1 species
GAUGAACGCUGGCGGCGUGCCUAAUACAUGCAAGUCGAGCGAACGGACGAGAAGCUUGCUUCUCUGAUGUUAGCGGCGGACGGGUGAGUAACACGUGGAUAACCUACCUAUAAGACUGGGAUAACUUCGGGAAACCGGAGCUAAUACCGGAUAAUAUUUUGAACCGCAUGGUUCAAAAGUGAAAGACGGUCUUGCUGUCACUUAUAGAUGGAUCCGCGCUGCAUUAGCUAGUUGGUAAGGUAACGGCUUACCAAGGCAACGAUGCAUAGCCGACCUGAGAGUGUGAUCGGCCACACUGGAACUAAGACACGGUCCAGACUCCUACGGGAGGCAGCAGUAGGGAAUCUUCCGCAAUGGGCUAAAGCCUGACGGAGCAACGCCACGUGAGUGAUGAAGAUCUUCGCAUCGUAAAACUCUGUUAUUAGGGAAGAACAUAUGUGUAAGUAACUGUGCACAUCUUGACGGUACCUAAUCAGAAGGCCGCGGCUAACUACCUG